AACGCACAUUGCGCCCGCUAGUAUUCUAGCGGGCAUGCCUGUUCGAGCGUCAUUUCAACCCUCAAGCCCCCUCCGGCUUGGCGUUGGGGAUCUGCCGGCCCUUGGCGGCCGGCAGCCCCCGAAAUCUAGUGGCGGUCCCGCUGUAGCCUCCUCCGCGUAGUAACACACCUCGCUCUGGGACUCGGCGGCGGCCAGGCCGUUAAACCCCCCACUUUCUCAAGGUUGACCUCGGAUCAGGUAGGAAUACCCGCUGAACUUAA
rnacentral:misc_RNA from 1 species